rnacentral:rRNA from 1 species
CCGUACACAAAAGCGCAUGUGCUGUGAGCUCGAUGAGUAGGGCGGGACACGUGGUAUCCUGUCUGAAUAUGGGGGGACCAUCCUCCAAGGCUAAAUACUCCUGACUGACCGAUAGUGAACCAGUACCGUGAGGGAAAGGCGAAAAGAACCCCGGCGAGGGGAGUGAAAAAGAACCUGAAACCGUGUACGUACAAGCAGUGGGAGCACAGGUUUACCUGUGUGACUGCGUACCUUUUGUAUAAUGGGUCAGCGACUUAUAUUCUGUAGCAAGGUUAACCGAAUAGGGGAGCCGGAGGGAAACCGAGUCUUAAUUGGGCGUUAAGUUGCAGGGUAUAGACCCGAAACCCGGUGAUCUAGCCAUGGGCAGGUUGAAGGUUGGGUAACACUAACUGGAGGACCGAACCGACUAAUGUUGAAAAAUUAGCGGAUGACCUGUGGCUGGGGGUGAAAGGCCAAUCAAACCGGGAGAUAGCUGGUUCUCCCCGAAAGCUAUUUAGGUAGCGCCUCGUGAAUUCAUCUCCGGGGGUAGAGCACUGUUUCGGCUAGGGGGCCAUCCCGGCUUACCAACCCGAUGCAAACUGCGAAUACCGGAGAAUGUUAUCACGGGAGACACACGGCGGGUGCUAACGUCCGUCGUGAAGAGGGAAACAACCCAGACCGCCAGCUAAGGUCCCAAAGUCAUGGUUAAGUGGGAAACGAUGUGGGAAGGCCCAGACAGCCAGGAUGUUGGCUUAGAAGCAGCCAUCAUUUAAAGAAAGCGUAAUAGCUCACUGGUCGAGUCGGCCUGCGCGGAAGAUGUAACGGGGCUAAACCAUGCACCGAAGCUGCGGCAGCGAACGUAUCACCCAAGACAACUUUACGGAGUUGACGAUUGACGGAGCGAAGCGACGUCAAAGCGUUCAUUAAAGUCGAGUUGGCUUAGGGAUACGUUCGUUGGGUAGGGGAGCGUUCUGUAAGCCUGUGAAGGUGUGUCGUGAGGCAUGCUGGAGGUAUCAGAAGUGCGAAUGCUGACAUAAGUAACGAUAAAGCGGGUGAAAAGCCCGCUCGCCGGAAGACCAAGGGUUCCUGUCCAACGUUAAUCGGGGCAGGGUGAGUCGACCCCUAAGGCGAGGCCGAAAGGCGUAGUCGAUGGGAAACGGGUUAAUAUUCCCGUACUUGGUGUUACUGCGAAGGGGGGACGGAGAAGGCUAUGUUGGCCGGGCGACGGUUGUCCCGGUUUAAGCGUGUAGGUGUGUGUUCCAGGUAAAUCCGGUUCACUUUAACACUGAGGCGUGACGACGAGGCACUACGGUGCUGAAGCAACAAAUGCCCUGCUUCCAGGAAAAGCCUCUAAGCAUCAGGUAACACGAAAUCGUACCCCAAACCGACACAGGUGGUCAGGUAGAGAAUACCAAGGCGCUUGAGAGAACUCGGGUGAAGGAACUAGGCAAAAUGGUGCCGUAACUUCGGGAGAAGGCACGCUGACACGUAGGUGAAGUGAUUUACUCAUGGAGCUGAAGUCAGUCGAAGAUACCAGCUGGCUGCAACUGUUUAUUAAAAACACAGCACUGUGCAAACACGAAAGUGGACGUAUACGGUGUGACGCCUGCCCGGUGCCGGAA